rnacentral:lncRNA from 1 species
GUGCGCGACAACAUCGGGGACUGCCACUCAAUAUACGUGAUCUAUAUGACGACGACAGACACCAUCUGCGAUGGAGCCGUGAAGCCCUUUGCGGCAUUCUGGUUCACGGUGUGGUGGUAUCUCCUGCUGGGCAUUCCCACAUGGAUGAUCGCGCUUGCGUUGUCCGCCUACUACAAGAAGAUCGCGUUCGGGAACUCGAGUCCAUUGACAAGCUGAUGGCCUAACUUGGACAUGGACCAAAGAUGUUAUCUAUUCCAGCGGAAGACAAUCUUCGCACUUUGUUCGCAAGCAAUCGCCGAACCCCAAGAAAUAUCCUCCGGAACCUCAAGUGU